GACACCCCGGGGGGAUAUGGGAUUGGGGACACAAUCAGGGGUGACAGGAGGGAGAUGAGGAGAGCCCCAGUAUUCCUUGGCAGAGCCCCUUCUUCCCCCUUUAAAGAAAGGGCAAACACGAGCGUAUGGGAGGGGUGGUGUGCACCCCUCCUACCCACCUGGGCUCCCAGCGCCCGGAGCAGGGAGGUGAGGCUGCGCAGGCUGCUGACAGCUUUGUCCACGUGGAGCCGCAGGGUCUCCGACGCCUGCGAGGAGUUGGCUAACAAGGCCCGGCCCCGCAGGAUGGCCUCUGAGAGCAGGGACAGGCCCUGCCAGACCUCCAGGGCCUGCUGCCCAACCUAAAGGAAGCGGGGACAUGGAAUCAGUCCGCCCAAGCCAUGCCCGCCCUGCCCCAGUCACCAAGCAGCAAACAGCAAGUAUGCAAUGAGCCAGGUUCCCAAACUGAGACUCCCCAUGAGGAAGGAACGCACGGACUCACCUCCAUCCUCUUCCAGGUGUAGAAGUUAACCUUGGGGUCCGGGACUGUGAUAUUCUCACUCAAGCCGCAGCUGUCUGCAUAGCCCGCCUGAAAGUCACGACCCCAGGUCAGGGCCUCGGGGGUGCUCCGUGGCUCUGUCCCUCACCCAGCCUCCACGCACGCUUUGGGGGUCACCAGCUUUAUCAUUUUUUGGCUUCCCCCUGGAAGGGGUCCAGGUUCCCAGAUCUGUAGGAAGAACCCGGACCCCCAAGAACGGGGGCGGUGGAAUGUGGGGACAGGACUCACCGUGACAUUCUCGGCCUCCUUGGCCUCCAGGAGGUACCUCUCCAGGAUUUGGCUGUCACAGAUGUGGCAUGGCGGGGACUCCAGGACCGGGAGGCCCAGAAGAGGCAGCAGCAGGGAGGGCAGAAGGAGCAGGGCAGGCCAUUCUAGAAAAGGGGGCCAGGCUGAGUGAGGGGGAGGCGGGCAGGAGAGGAAAAGGUUGGUGAGGGGGACACAUCCUGCUCCUCUGCGCCCCGCUUUCCCUCCUGACCCCAACCUCCGGAGCCCUGGGGCUCGGCCUCCGUUGCCUUCAUUCAUUCAGCUGCCGCGCGCCCACCCCGCCCCCAGCUACCGGCAUCCGCGUCUCGGGGCCAAACUUCAAUCCGGCCGGGACCGAGGCUGCCCCUCUCGCCGAUCCCGGUGGAGGCUCCAAGAUCCAGGGCACAGAGCACCUGGCCUGCUGUAGAGGACACACACGCACUUUGACAUCAUUUUUUUUCGAUCUGUGACAUCGGAUAGCCUGCGACACAAGAUUUUUAAGAACGCUGAAAUAAAGAGAACUCUAGCUAAUACACCAACUUCUGGGCAGUUGGACAUCUGUUCCCCAAGGAGCUUUAUUUGACACACAUUUGCCAUCCAACUCCUCCAGACGGUCAAGGGUUUCUGGAGCGGCCACUGUUUCCCCAGCCUGUGAUCAAGCACCAGGAGCUCACCUGGGUUGUAGAGAGUGCCAGGACACACCUCAGAGGGCCACCAGCCCAUCUAAACCAGCGAAUGUCCUGAGGCCUUUCCUUGUCCCUGCUAGGCCGGCGACAAUCAAAAGCUUGGUAGUGUGGGAAACAGGGCCUGAAGUUUCUCCUCUCCUUCCCACAUACUUGAGGUGGGGGCCUGGAACACUGGGCCCCUGCUGAGACAGAACACUGCCAAGGCACACCUCGUUAAAGUAAGCCCGGAUGUGAGAAUGUGGCUGAAGGACUGUUUUCUGUUAUUGUCCUUCAGAUUAAGAUAAGAACCAUUUGCAGACUGAUGUAAACAACCAUGGGAAAAUAUCUACGUGCACAGUAAAGCAUUACUCUACUCUAAAAGCAUAAUAACUAAGGGUCUGGGAACGGGGCUCACACACUCACCUGACAGGCGGUGUGUCCCCUGCUCCCAGUCUCUCAAAGAUAUUUUUGUCUUUAAUCUUAAUUUCUGCGUUGUCCCUGGCAACAUGGUAGAACUAAUAACCCAGCUUUGUGAGUUGAACACACAGAAUCACAUUCCUUCCCUUCUCCGCAUCCCGUUUAAGAGACCCCAUAUGACCCAAAAUGGCUCAUAGGAACAUCAGCCAAAAUCUACCAAGCCCUGACCACUGCCAAGAUGGACCCAAGUCCUAUACAAACUAUUUGUCUUCUUAAAUCCCUCUGUCCUGCUUUCUACCGUAAGUCUCUGGAGGAAGGACCAGUGGUUUAAACCUUUCCUGCAGGCCUGGCAUCCAACCCAGGUCCUUAAA